UCACGGAGGGAGCUAGCGUUGUUCGGAAUUACUGGGCGUAAAGCGCGCGAGGCGGCUUUGUAAGUUAGAGGUGAAAGCCCGGGGCUCAACUCCGGAACUGCCUUUAAGACUGCAUCGCUUGAAUCCGGGAGAGGUGAGUGGAAUUCCCGAGUGUAGAGGUGAAAUUCGUAGAUAUUCGGAAGAACACCAGUGGCGAAGGCGGCUCACUGGACCGGUAUUGACGCUGAGGUGCGAAAGCGUGGG
rnacentral:rRNA from 1 species